rnacentral:rRNA from 1 species
CAGCAGCCGCGGGAAUACGUAGGUGGCAAGCGUUGUCCGGAAUUAUUGGGCGUAAAGCGCGCGCAGGCGGAUAGGUCAGUCUGUCUUAAAAGUUCGGGGCUUAACCCCGUGAUGGGAUGGAAACUGCCAAUCUAGAGUAUCGGAGAGGAAAGUGGAAUUCCUAGUGUAGCGGUGAAAUGCGUAGAUAUUAGGAAGAACACCAGUGGCGAAGGCGACUUUCUGGACGAAAACUGACGCUGAGGCGCGAAAGCCAGGGGAGCGAACGGGAUUAGAUACCCGUGUAGUCCCUGUCUCUUAUACC